rnacentral:rRNA from 1 species
CCUACGGGCGGCUGCAGUGGGGGAUAUUGCACAAUGGGGGAAACCCUGAUGCAGCGACGCCGCGUGUGGGAAGACGGUCUUCUGGAUUGUAAACCACUGUCCCCAGGGACGAAAAUGACGGUACCUGGGGAGGAAGCUCCGGCUAACUACGUGCCAGCAGCCGCGGUAAUACGUAGGGAGCAAGCGUUGUCCGGAAUUACUGGGUGUAAAGGGAGCGUAGGCGGGGAUGCAAGUUGGGUGUCAAAACUACCGGCUCAACCGAUAGUCGCACUCAAAACUGCAGCUCUUGAGUGAAGUAGAGGCAGGCGGAAUUCCGAGUGUAGCGGUGAAAUGCGUAGAUAUUAGGAGGAACACCAGUGGCGAAGGCGGCCUGCUGGGCUUUUACUGACGCUGAGGCUCGAAAGUGUGGGGAGCAAACAGGAUUAGAUACCCGGGUAGUC